GACGGAGGAUGCAAGUGUUAUCCGGAAUCACUGGGCGUAAAGCGUCUGUAGGUGGUCAAAUAAGUCAACUGUUAAAUCUUGAGGCUCAACCUCAAAGUCGCAGUCGAAACUAUUCGACUAGAGUAUAGUAGGGGUAAAGGGAAUUUCCAGUGGAGCGGUGAAAUGCGUAGAGAUUGGAAAGAACACCGAUGGCGAAGGCACUUUACUGGGCUAUUACUAACACUGAGAGACGAAAGCUAGGGUAGCAAAUGGG
rnacentral:rRNA from 1 species